GGCAUACAAAUUCUAAAGAUAACCAUGGAUAAAGCCAACUGCUUCCAAAUUCAAGCAUCUACACAGAAGAUAUAAGCCUUCUUAAGUAUGUUAGUAAUUAGAGAAAUGAAUGUUGGAAAUCAAUGAGAUUUGCAUAUUGGCAAUAGGUAUUGAGCCUCAUAACAUCAAAAAAAAAAAUGCUGAAAAUUUGAAAAAAAAAAAAAAAAAGGACUUGUGUAGAUUGGUGGUUCAGCCCAAUUGGGGGAUGGGGUCAUGGAAAAGUCAAAAAAGGAAAGAUGAGAACUUUCCUUGAGCCAGGAGUCUGACAGCCAUCAAUGGCUCAGAUUCUCUCUCUCUCCCCUCUCCUCUCCCCUCUUCUCCUGUCCUUUCCCCUCCCACUCCCCUCCCUCUUCUCUCCCUCUCCCCUCUCCUCCCUCUUCUCUCCCUCUCCCUCUCCCCUCCCCCUCCCUCCUCUCUUUUCCCUCUCCCCUUUCCUCUCCCUCUCCCUAUCUAUCCCCCCCCUCCCUC
rnacentral:lncRNA from 1 species